UACGGGGGGGGUAAGCGUUGUUCGGAAUUACUGGGCGUAAAGGGCUCGUAGGCGGCCAACUAAGUCGGACGUGAAAUCCCUCAGCUUAACUGGGGAACUGCGUCCGAUACUGGAUGGCUUGGAUUCGGGAGAGGAAUGCGGAAUUCCAGGUGUAGCGGUGAAAUGCGUAGAUAUCUGGAGGAACACCGGUGGCGAAGGCGGCAUUCUGGACCGACAUUGACGCUGAGGAGCGAAAGCCAGGGGAGCAAACAGG
rnacentral:rRNA from 1 species